rnacentral:misc_RNA from 1 species
UCGUAGAUAUUGGAUAUCGAAGAUUCGAUUGAUAGAUGAGAGGUCAUUGGAUCGUUGAUCGCGAUAACCAGCUUUGGCUAAUAUCAUACUUUCAAAUGAAUCCGCGACAGUCCUUGACGAGGAUCUUGCGUGACGCUCGAGGAUAGAUCGAUAUUACGGUUAACAAUACAGAGACACGAUACAUAUGCGACCUGUUAAGCACAGGAGGACUGACAAAUAAAUUGACUCGACCUGGCUAAGGACCGUGCGAACUCGGAUUUCACGUUCGAACCCAAUACACACAGGUGCAGGACGGUUUAUCGACUUCCUGCUGCACCUGUGUUUCUCUCCACUCCGUACACCAAUGUCGUGGUGCGUUAAAUCCCGUCUUUCUACGUGGGCUGGGCUCUCGUGUCUCACAGAGACAGCCUAAUCGGAAGCAAUUAGGAGCAUCGUUCUAAAUUACAUUCUCGAUCACGUCGAACGUCAAAGAAGAGGAAACAACGACCCACUUUUGCCUGUUUCAAGGGUGAUAAUAAUCCACGCGCAUUUCCGCUGCAACGUUUCGCUGCUUUAAUACUAUAGGGAUAUUUGGUUACGCGCAGGUUUUGCAAAGUUCUUUAAGCAAAUUGAGUCAUAAUCUUGACGAUUUUGAUUCAUAAAU